UUAAGCGACUAAGCGUACACGGUGGAUGCCCUGGCAGUCAGAGGCGAUGAAGGGCGUGCUAAUCUGCGAUAAGCGCCGGUAAGGUGAUAUGAACCGUUAUAACCGGCGAUACCCGAAUGGGGAAACCCAGUGUGACUCGUCACACUAUCAUUAACUGAAUCCAUAGGUUAAUGAGGCGAACCGGGGGAACUGAAACAUCUAAGUACCCCGAGGAAAAGAAAUCAACCGAGAUUCCCCCAGUAGCGGCGAGCGAACGGGGAGGAGCCCAGAGCCUGAAUCAGCAUGUGUGUUAGUGGAAGCGUCUGGAAAGGCGCGCGAUACAGGGUGACAGCCCCGUACACAAAAGCGCAUAUGCUGUGAGCUCGAUGAGUAGGGCGGGACACGUGGUAUCCUGUCUGAAUAUGGGGGGACCAUCCUCCAAGGCUAAAUACUCCUGACUGACCGAUAGUGAACCAGUACCGUGAGGGAAAGGCGAAAAGAACCCCGGCGAGGGGAGUGAAAAAGAACCUGAAACCGUGUACGUACAAGCAGUGGGAGCACAGGUUUACCUGUGUGACUGCGUACCUUUUGUAUAAUGGGUCAGCGACUUAUAUUCUGUAGCAAGGUUAACCGAAUAGGGGAGCCGGAGGGAAACCGAGUCUUAAUUGGGCGUUAAGUUGCAGGGUAUAGACCCGAAACCCGGUGAUCUAGCCAUGGGCAGGUUGAAGGUUGGGUAACACUAACUGGAGGACCGAACCGACUAAUGUUGAAAAAUUAGCGGAUGACCUGUGGCUGGGGGUGAAAGGCCAAUCAAACCGGGAGAUAGCUGGUUCUCCCCGAAAGCUAUUUAGGUAGCGCCUCGUGAAUUCAUCUCCGGGGGUAGAGCACUGUUUCGGCUAGGGGGCCAUCCCGGCUUACCAACCCGAUGCAAACUGCGAAUACCGGAGAAUGUUAUCACGGGAGACACACGGCGGGUGCUAACGUCCGUCGUGAAGAGGGAAACAACCCAGACCGCCAGCUAAGGUCCCAAAGUCAUGGUUAAGUGGGAAACGAUGUGGGAAGGCCCAGACAGCCAGGAUGUUGGCUUAGAAGCAGCCAUCAUUUAAAGAAAGCGUAAUAGCUCACUGGUCGAGUCGGCCUGCGCGGAAGAUGUAACGGGGCUAAACCAUGCACCGAAGCUGCGGCAGCGACACUGUGUGUUGUUGGGUAGGGGAGCGUUCUGUAAGCCUGCGAAGGUGGCCUGUGAGGGUUGCUGGAGGUAUCAGAAGUGCGAAUGCUGACAUAAGUAACGAUAAAGCGGGUGAAAAGCCCGCUCGCCGGAAGACCAAGGGUUCCUGUCCAACGUUAAUCGGGGCAGGGUGAGUCGACCCCUAAGGCGAGGCCGAAAGGCGUAGUCGAUGGGAAACAGGUUAAUAUUCCUGUACUUGGUGUUACUGCGAAGGGGGGACGGAGAAGGCUAUGUUGGCCGGGCGACGGUUGUCCCGGUUUAAGCGUGUAGGUGUGUGUUCCAGGUAAAUCCGGUUCACUUUAACACUGAGGCGUGAUGACGAGGCACUACGGUGCUGAAGCAACAAAUGCCCUGCUUCCAGGAAAAGCCUCUAAGCAUCAGGUAACAUCAAAUCGUACCCCAAACCGACACAGGUGGUCAGGUAGAGAAUACCAAGGCGCUUGAGAGAACUCGGGUGAAGGAACUAGGCAAAAUGGUGCCGUAACUUCGGGAGAAGGCACGCUGACACGUAGGUGAAGUGAUUUACUCACGGAGCUGAAGUCAGUCGAAGAUACCAGCUGGCUGCAACUGUUUAUUAAAAACACAGCACUGUGCAAACACGAAAGUGGACGUAUACGGUGUGACGCCUGCCCGGUGCCGGAAGGUUAAUUGAUGGGGUCAGCGCAAGCGAAGCUCCUGAUCGAAGCCCCGGUAAACGGCGGCCGUAACUAUAACGGUCCUAAGGUAGCGAAAUUCCUUGUCGGGUAAGUUCCGACCUGCACGAAUGGCGUAAUGAUGGCCAGGCUGUCUCCACCCGAGACUCAGUGAAAUUGAACUCGCUGUGAAGAUGCAGUGUACCCGCGGCAAGACGGAAAGACCCCGUGAACCUUUACUAUAGCUUGACACUGAACAUUGAGCCUUGAUGUGUAGGAUAGGUGGGAGGCUUUGAAGUGUGGACGCCAGUCUGCAUGGAGCCGACCUUGAAAUACCACCCUUUAAUGUUUGAUGUUCUAACGUGGACCCGUGAUCCGGGUUGCGGACAGUGUCUGGUGGGUAGUUUGACUGGGGCGGUCUCCUCCUAAAGAGUAACGGAGGAGCACGAAGGUUGGCUAAUCCUGGUCGGACAUCAGGAGGUUAGUGCAAUGGCAUAAGCCAGCUUGACUGCGAGCGUGACGGCGCGAGCAGGUGCGAAAGCAGGUCAUAGUGAUCCGGUGGUUCUGAAUGGAAGGGCCAUCGCUCAACGGAUAAAAGGUACUCCGGGGAUAACAGGCUGAUACCGCCCAAGAGUUCAUAUCGACGGCGGUGUUUGGCACCUCGAUGUCGGCUCAUCACAUCCUGGGGCUGAAGUAGGUCCCAAGGGUAUGGCUGUUCGCCAUUUAAAGUGGUACGCGAGCUGGGUUUAGAACGUCGUGAGACAGUUCGGUCCCUAUCUGCCGUGGGCGCUGGAGAACUGAGGGGGGCUGCUCCUAGUACGAGAGGACCGGAGUGGACGCAUCACUGGUGUUCGGGUUGUCAUGCCAAUGGCACUGCCCGGUAGCUAAAUGCGGAAGAGAUAAGUGCUGAAAGCAUCUAAGCACGAAACUUGCCCCGAGAUGAGUUCUCCCUGAGACUUAGAGUCUCCUGAAGGAACGUUGAAGACGACGACGUUGAUAGGCCGGGUGUGUAAGCGCAGCGAUGCGUUGAGCUAACCGGUACUAAUGAACCGUGAGGCUUAACCUU
rnacentral:rRNA from 1 species